rnacentral:lncRNA from 1 species
UAUCUCUCUCUCUCUCACUCACUCACUCACUCACUCACUCACACACACACACACACACACACACCCACCAACCAUCCGUUUUUUUGGGGGGGUUUUGUCCUCCUUAAGGAAAUUAAUAGGAAAGGCAAUACAAAUAAUUGCAGGCUUGUGACUACAUAUUAUCAGACUAUUCAUUAGAGCAGCAUUGUCAUGGCCACAUCCAUUUUUUUUUUAAAGCCCCCUCCCGACUCCAAUACAAUUGUCUCCCUAGUCACCCCCAAACGCCCCUAGGUGCCCCUGUGGGAGCAAUAAGCUUAUGACCUAAACAUUUUUAAAAAUCAUACUUACGAUUAGAUGUCUUCUAUUUUCUAAAAUCUUCUUUUUUCAGGCCCAAAAAAGGCCACAUAAAACAAAUUGAAAAAACGGUCUGGUCACUAAGGGGUUAAUAUUUAGUUAAUUAAUUGACUACUCCCCCACCUCCAGUAGACAUGCCCCUUCUGGCGGCAUAGCGAGCAGGGGCAGGAGGGAGAUGUUAAACUCCCUUAUUUACACAUACUGAGUAAUCUUACUUAGUGUUCGUAAACUUGGCUGAAAGACCAAGUUGUGGACUAUUCUCAUGGAAUUAUUCCGUGAUUGCUCCCAGCUAAGCUAAGUGGCAUUGGGUAAGAUCAGGCGGCUGGUAACACACACAGCUUCAUGUGAAUGGUUGAGAUCUCUCUGAGCAAGCCUCACCCAAACGUGAGCACAGAACUGAUCAAAUACUUGAACAAAUGAGCUUGCCAGGUCAGGGCGCAGUGUCACAGGACACUGUGAAGCACGCUUGUUUGUGUUUGCCAUUUUGAGAAACUCAACCUGGUGCAGGCUGUGAAGUGUAAUGAUCAGCAUAUUCUUGUGGAAUAGCACGGACCUGGAUAACCCCCAUAAGUCCAAAGGGGGUCGGUCGAAUUCUAAUAAAUGUUGAUGCUGAACCAAGGUAGGGAAUUGGCUGUUUUUCCCACCCGGGGAUAGCCAGCAGACCGCAGUAAAUACUGUAUCAGAACAACCGGUAAAACUGGAAAAACUCAGUCCAGGAUUAUACAGAAUGUUCUCCCUGCUAUAGUAGACAACCAACAGCCUCAAAAUAGCACAAUAUGUUGAAUGUUAGGCUUAAUGUAAAAUUUAAGUUGAGGAGCUCUUUCAACCUGCUUGCUCGGCAGUCAGGCCCCAGCCCCCUUUAUAGAAUAGGUUAUCAUCUGUCAUUUAUAAAAAUGUCCACCUUGGUAUUCAAGAUAAGUUAAUAAGUCAGAGAAAAUGUGUUUUGGUGGCAUUUUAUGGCGGUUCCUGAUAAAAUAGCUUGGCAUGUCAGUAGGGUGACAACGUACACAAAGCGUUGAGUCAUCCUCUGGAACUCGGCGACCUUUAUAAUACCCUUCUCAAACGUACUGUUUCUAAAUUAUAUAGUGUAACUGAAAACAUCUUUAAUCAUUGCCUAUAAAGAUAAGUGUAUUCACUAAGUACCAGAAAUUGUACUUGUUUUUCUUAAUGUUUUACCACAAUGUGAAACUUUAGUAAAUUUUUUGUGUUCCUGAGAGUCUAGUUUCUCUGUAAUCACAGCUUCAUUCCUCUUCAGUCAACAUCCCAGCUGGAAAGCAGCUCAAACCAAUGAGAUAUUUAAACAAAAUGUUGUUUUCUCCUCCCUGCCCUGACCUCUCAGGAGGCUGCCGUCAGAUAUAAGACUCUCGGCUUCUGCUGCGAAUUACAGGGUUUAAAUCUCCUCGUAACAUCAGCAGUACAUAGCGCACAGGAGGGCAGAAAAGCUAUAAUCCUCUCUCAAAGACUUUUUAAACAAAAUUACAGUAGUUACAGUGACAAAUAAACUAGACACAAAGGGUAAACUCAUUGUAAAGAACUUUGGAAUUUACAAAUAACGUGGUGCUGCAUGGAGGUUACCCAAAGACAUCUCGCUUAGAUCUCUCCAAAAAGACACUUUCAGUAUGUUUUCUUUUUGAAUAGAUGGGAAUUUUUUUUAAUAAUUCAUGAUUUUUAAGAGAGACUGUGCAUUGUUCUAUUUAAUUGGUGUUGUGUCUUUGAUCACCUGCUAUUGUAGUAGUUCAACUUCUAUGGUAAUAAAAUGUAAACAAAUAUGUCUGCCUGAAUUGGUAUCCAGCGUACAACUGGUGGUAGGACCAUCUGAGGUAGGUCCUUCUCAGCACAACAAAAACAGGUGUACCUUUUAUUUCACUCAUAUUUUUACAUGUGUUUUUUUUUUUCUUUCAUUAAACUGUCAUUAAACAGUUUUUGUUUUGGGUGAUACAUAGUGCUAGGGGUGAUAUUUAGAAAUAGUGUUAGAACAAAGUAUAGAAUUAAGUGUUGGGAUAGCAUUUAAGGUUAGGUUCCAAUAUAUAUUAUGGUCAUCCAUUUUGGCACAUUUAAAUGGCACUGAAAAAUUCUAGACCCCAGAUAUACACUUACCUAGUUUUAUAAUAGAUUAUAAUACACUGCUGUUACAUAAGGCUGUUAUGUGACACAAAUAAGGAUCUGCAGUAUACUAAGAUACUAAUAUCCUAAGAUUGCUUAAGCACAUCAGUACUGUUACUGUACUUUACUUAAAAUACACGUUGGCAAAGUGGCCAGGGAUAUAUUUAGUGAAGUGAGUGGCAUAGAGUGGAAGUUCUUAGAUUCAACACUGUCAAGACAUUGCAGACACUGCUACUUUGUUAGUGUUAACAUACUGUCACCAAAACAACUUAAGUUUAAUGAAGCAGUUUUUGCGUAUAGGUCAUGAAGCCCAUGGAGAAAUCACAGCUUAGGGGAUAGGGCCCUGACAAGGCUAGGAGGCGGGCUUGGGGGUGGUAGCAGCAGGGGAUUGGUAGAACAGUGCUUGGGGGUUGGCUGAUAUAGUCAGCCAUUUUAUGAUCCCUCUCUCUAAUUUCUUCCUCGAAGAGUUGGUCCCUCCCUCCCUUUGUAGUUUUUCCCCUAGGAACAGCACAAAACCAGGAUACACCACUGGGUGUAGGGGUAUCUGGGUAUACCCCUACCAGGUGAAAUGGAUCAAUGUUGAUAUGUUAUAUGUUAUGUUAUAUGAUGGUUGUAUAUUGGAAAUGUAUUAUGUGGUGGGUCAUUAUCUUGAUGUAAAUAUGUGAAAAUGAUACGAGAUUGGGGGCGUGGCAGGUAAUGACCC